rnacentral:lncRNA from 1 species
AGCCUUCGCGGAAAAGGGCAGGGAUGAGUGGGGCAUACUCGUACCACUGGCCGAGACGGUUGGCGAGGAUGUCGAUUCGGGCGGCGAGGUCGAGCUUGCUGAAUUUGGAAGGGAGGGGCGUUGGAGGAGGCCGGAAAGGCUGGUAGAGGUUUUGCUGGAUGGGAGGAGGGUUGUUGGAAAAACGGUCGAAGUUGAGGGUGGCGGAAAUUGGUUUAAGGGAAUUGGUACGGUGGUGGUGGUGGUGGUGGUGGUUGGGGGAGAUGGGGUUGAGGUUUAGAGUGUUUACUGAGAGUGAGAGCAUUGUAGAACUCGGGAUUGGUGAUGAUGAGAGAGUUUGAAGGUGUUGGAUUUGCCUUGCCUUAUCUAAUAGAUAUCCACUUUAGAUAUUUAUAUGUUUACUUCAAUUCAUUGGCUUUAUCAACUUGUGCAAGCAACUCACACAAUUUUGAUCCCCAUUAUUUUGAUUAAGGAUUUUUUUAGUACGAGAGAGACAAGGUUAUGACAUUUUUAUGUUUCCAAUAAAGCAAAUAAUAUACGUUUAUUUUCAUUGUCAAAAUUAUACUUAAUUUAAACAUAAUUGAGAGUUUAUUAAACAUGAAUGUGUAUAAGAGAUGAAUAAUAAAUUGUUGAAAUUGACAUCUUAAUUUAAUUUUCUUUUACUUAUAAGGUAAAAUGUUUGAACAAAAAUACACAUGUUAUCAAUAUUAAAUGAUUUAUAAAAUGAUCUUAAAACUUUUGUUGCAAAGUUUGACAAAGGUAAGUUUUUUAUCUUCAUAAUCUAUUUAAUAAGUAUAAAAUCAUUAAGAAUUCAAAUGAAGUUUAAUAUAAUAAGUAUCAUUGGCAAUUUGAGCAACGCCUAUGGGGUUCGCCUCAUACUUAUUAGGUGGUUAACCCAUAAGCAAAACGGACAGCUCACGUGCAAUAUUAGAUAAAGUAUUGAAUAUGAAAUAUGCAAGUUAUGUAUUAUUUAUUUUAUAUGAAGUGUAUAUAAAUUUAUAUAUUUAUAUAUAUAUAUAUUAGUUUAUUUAUGGCGGUUCACAAGUCCGCUCUAUGAUAGGACAAAUCGCAAGUGCACGAUUAUGAUGUCAGGUAAUAAAAUAUCGAUCCCACGAGGACUGACAAAUUCAUUUAAUUAUAACAAUUAAUUUAUAUUUAACUCAAAAAGGAAUUAAAAGUGAAUUUAGAACAAUUGAUAAGAAUAGUUAUGAAAAUAAUAAAAAAAAGAUUGAAAUCUAAUUUAUGAUAAGUUUCCAAGAUAAGGGUUAUCGCCUUUACACUCCCAAAUCUUUGUUUUGCUCAUUUUCAUGAACUUUAAGUUGUGAGGGUAAAUUACUCUUUGAUAUUGUCAUCAUCUCUCGAACUCUGACACAUGUACUCAAAUGAAAUCGCACCUACUCUCAUGGUACGAUUAUCAAUUAAAUUAUUUACUUGGAUCUUUCUAUUCAAUCGCUUUGUAGCAAUUUCAACGCCAGUGAUGCCAGUAGCUUCUUCAAGUGAAGGAGGAGAGAAGCCUUCGCGGAAAAGGGCAGGGAUGAGUGGGGCAUACUCGUACCACUGGCCGAGACGGUUGGCGAGGAUGUCGAUUCGGGCGGCGAGGUCGAGCUUGCUGAAUUUGGAAGGGAGGGGCGUUGGAGGAGGCCGGAAAGGCUGGUAGAGGUUUUGCUGGAUGGGAGGAGGGUUGUUGGAAAAACGGUCGAAGUUGAGGGUGGCGGAAAUUGGUUUAAGGGAAUUGGUACGGUGGUGGUGGUGGUGGUGGUGGUUGGGGGAGAUGGGGUUGAGGUUUAGAGUGUUUACUGAGAGUGAGAGCAUUGUAGAACUCGGGAUUGGUGAUGAUGAGAGAGUUUGAAGGUGUUGGAUUUGCCUUGCCUUAUCUAAUAGAUAUCCACUUUAGAUAUUUAUAUGUUUACUUCAAUUCAUUGGCUUUAUCAACUUGUGCAAGCAACUCACACAAUUUUGAUCCCCAUUAUUUUGAUUAAGG